AGAGUUUGAUCCUGGCUCAGAACGAACGCUGGCGGCGUGCCUAACACAUGCAAGUCGAACGGGGUUAGUUGGUAGCACUGAGCUAUCAGCCAAUAGCUGUCAGCCGACAGCAUUCAGCAGACAGGAUAUUAACUGAAAGUUGAGAGCUGAAGGCUAAGGGCUUAGGAGCUGAAAGCUGAGAGCUAUCAGCUAACUUAGUGGCGGACGGGUGAGUAACACGUAGGUAACCAACCCUCAAGCGGGGGACAACUCUUCGAAAGGAGAGCUAAUACCGCAUAAGCUCACGAACUGGGAUGUUAGUGAGAAAAGGAGUAAUUCACUUGAGGAUGGGCCUGCGGCCUAUCAGGUAGUUGGCGGGGUAACGGCCCACCAAGCCUAAGACGGGUAGCCGGACUGAGAGGUUGAACGGCCACACUGGAACUGAGACACGGUCCAGACUCCUACGGGAGGCAGCAGUGGGGAAUUUUGCGCAAUGGGGGAAACCCUGACGCAGCGACGCCGCGUGGAGGAUGAAGGUCUUCGGAUUGUAAACUCCUUUUGUCGGGGAAGAUAAUGACGGUACCCGAUGAAUAAGCCACGGCUAACUCUGUGCCAGCAGCCGCGGUAAGACAGAGGUGGCAAGCGUUGUUCGGAAUUACUGGGCUUAAAGGGCGCGUAGGCGGUGGAGUAAGUCUGAGGUGGAAGAUUAGGGCUUAACCCUAAAAUUGCCUUGGAAACUGCAUCACUUGAGUAAGCGAGGGGAUGGC
rnacentral:rRNA from 1 species